AUUGAACGCUGGCGGCAGGCCUAACACAUGCAAGUCGAGCGAGAGGCGGCCGGGUGAGUAAUGUAUGGGGAUCUGCCCGAUAGAGGGGGAUAACUACGGGAAACUGUAGCUAAUACCGCGUACCAUAGGAUGAGCCCAAGUGGGAUUAGGUAGUUGGUGGGGUAACGGCUCACCAAGCCGACGAUCUCUAGCUGGUCUGAGAGGAUGACCAGCCACACUGGGACUGAUACACGGCCCAGACUCCUACGGGAGGCAGCAGUGGGGAAUAUUGCACAAUGGGCGCAAGCCUGAUGCAGCCAUGCCGCGUGUAUGAAGAAGGCCUUCGGGUUGUAAAGUACUUUCAGUCGGGAGGCGUUACCGACAGAAGAAGCACCGGCUAACUCCGGGCCAGCAGCCGCGGUAAUUC
rnacentral:rRNA from 1 species